UGCGGGGAAGUCAAAUGGUUAAGACGCCAGUUUCAUAAGCUGGAAACAGUGGGUUCGAUUCCCACCUCCGCAACCU
rnacentral:tRNA from 1 species